AAGAAUCUAAAUAUAGUUAAGAGCCAUCUCUCUUUCCUCUCGUAUGAAGUUCUGUGUUUCUCUUUUAUAUAAGCACCUGUAUAUUCUUGGCUUUUCUUAAAAUCAAUGUAAUGUUGAUUUUAUUGUUUGAACUGUUUUGGUGCUUGCUUCAUUAUCUUCUCUACAAAGACCCUUUAAUUUUGUCACUAAAUUGUAGAAAUGUAUCAUGCUUUUAUUAGAUGCAGCAUUUUAUGUUAACAAA
rnacentral:lncRNA from 1 species